GGUGUUUGCAGACAGUGUACCAAGUAAAUGCUGUGGUCUUACUGAGGUGGUUCAUGUCAAUUAAUUUAGCUGAACUAACUUAAAUAUUUUGUGUAUAGGCUAAAAUUUGUACAGUUUUAUUUUUCUUUGUGGAUUAUUUUAUUACUUACACCGUGUGUGCACUAAUGGAUCACCCUUCACCUGACUCCAAGUGGCUUCUGUGUCACAUUUGCCUCUUAUCCCACAGUCAAAUCCUAACAGUUUGUGUCAGAAGUGGGAUCUAGUGUGACAUAGGAAUACCAAUUAUGCUGCCGAAGAGGAGAUCAGCUAGCAGCUGAAGUUGAUGUGGAGGAAUAGCAAGGUGCCACAUGUGGAGAUCCAGUACAGCCUGUGGACACCCUUAACAACACAGGUGAAUCUGCCAUUGCAGCUCUGGCAUGGUCCAAUCAUUCCUACAAUAUCAGAAGGACAGGGAGAAGAGGCAAGGGAGAGAAUCAGCCUGUCGGGAACAGCAGUACAAGGUCCUCACUCAUCAAGUCACUCAGAUGCAGAUGGAUCUGGAGCAUGCCCGACCAAAAGCUCUCUCUUCUGAACAGACAGUGGCUUGAAGUUUUGAUCACAUAACUCAACUGCCUAAGUUGCAAAACACUCCAUAUAGAACAUUUUCUUACUACUUUUAAGAGACUGGCAGAAGUGUACAAAUGGCCAAAGGAAGACUGGGCGAUUCAUCUGGUUCCCCUGCUUACUGUCAAAGCAAGAAGUGUGGUGACUGCCUAUACCUCUGACUAUGAGAAAGUCAAAGUCAAAGAAGACAUCCUCAAGAAAUACGAAAUCAAUGCAGAAUCCUAUACAGACUGAGAUUUCGAACACUGAACACACCUGUUGACGAAUCACCGAUGGAGUUGUAUGUCCGCCUAAAAUACUAUGAAAGAGAGAGAUCCCAUUACAGCAGAAGAGGCAGCUAAACUAGUUGAAGCCUAUGUUGCAGCUUGCAAAGGAUUCUCUGAAACCUUCAGAUAUGCUGGCAGCCUUCAAGCAGCAAGAGCACCUUAUUCCAAAAUGAAGAGGCUUGUCCAAAUGUGCGUUUGCAUACCUCCAGCAACUCCAUUUGUGGCGUGUGCAGAAAAGGCUUCUUUUGCAUCACUCUCCCGUACAGCUUCACCUUGUGAAAGUGUGCUGAAUUGUUGAACGAGGCACAGUGACACCAUCUGCAGCAAGUUGUUGAUGUAGGCCAUUGGAAGUGGUCUGUGGGCUGUUUUUGACUGUUCUGUCAGGACUCAGCCUGGACUUUGGCCACGUGCUUUUGUUUAUGUUCUGUGUUCACUGUCUGCCCUGCCCUUGUCUCUUCCUCGCCUCUGCACACCUGUCUCUCAUGUGUCUAAUUGUUAUUAGUAUUUAGUUGAGCCACGUUGCCUUAAGCAGCACGGAAUCCUCUGUCUGUUGCUGUCGUUUGAUGUUGUCUUGUCUCUAGUCGGUGUCCCUGUUUUUGUGUGUAAUUUUUUUGUUGCUGUUGUUGUUUUUUUAAGUUAUUAAAUCCUGUUUAUUUUACGCU